rnacentral:rRNA from 1 species
UCUAAUAAGAGUUUGAUCCUGGCUCAGGAUGAACGCUGGCGGCGUGCCUAAGACAUGCAAGUCGAAUGCUCCGCAAGGGGCAUGGCGAACGGGUGAGUAAUACCUAGGAACUUUCUUUAAGUGGAGCAUAACCAGUCGAAAGAUUGGAUAAUACUCCAUGUGACCGCAAGGUCAAAGUCGCAAGACGCUUAAAGUGAGGCCUGGGCACCAUCAGCUAGUUGGUAAGGUAAUGGCUUACCAAGGCUAUGACGGUUAGGGGCCCCGAGAGGGGAAACCCCCACACUGGAACUGCGACACGGUCCAGACUCCUACGGGAGGCAGCAGUUUGGAAUUUUGGACAAUGGGCGAAAGCCUGAUCCAGCGACGCCGCGUGGACGAUGAAGGCCUUCGGGUUGUAAAGUCCUUUUGCUCGGGAACAAUAUUUUGAGCGUACCGAGAGAAUAAGAGGUUGCUAACUCUGUGCCAGCAGCAGCGGUAAUACAGAGACCUCAAGCGUUAUCCGGAAUCAUUGGGCGUAAAGCGUACCGAUAGGUGGUUUUACAAGUCAGAAGUGAAAUCUCUCAGCUUAACUGGGAGACUGUCUUUUGAAACUGUAAAACUAGAGGGGCAAAGAGGAAGCUGGAACAAGCGGUGUAGUAGUGAAAUGCGUUGAUAUCGCUUGGAACACCAAUAGCGUAGGCAGGCUUCUGGGUGCCACCUGACACUGCUAGGACGAAAGCGUGGGGAGCGAAUGGGAUUAGAUACCCCAGUAGUCCACGCUGUAAACGAUGAUGAUUAGGCGCUAGCGAGUAUCGACCCUCGUUAGUGCCAUAGCUAACGCGUUAAAUCAUCCGCCUGGGGAGUACGGCCGCAAGGCUAAAACUCAAAGGAAUUGACGGGGACCUGCACAAGCGGUGGAGCAUGUGGUUUAAUUCGACGGUAAGCGAGGAACCUUACCAAGUCUUGACAUGUACCUGCAUACUCUAGAGAUAGGGUAGCCUUCGAGGGUGGUACACAGGUGCUGCACGGUUGAAAAUCGACCGCUCCCAAAGUAAUUUGGGAUGAAAAAUACCGACUCAAAACGGUGAAGCCCCAAUAUUUAAUUAAUGAUAUAAUUAAAGAAUGGGUAAUACCGUGGGAAAUUCAAGCGCUAAUUUUUGUGACUUUUAUUCCUCUAAAGCUCAUGCAUAUGUGCUGGGUCUUUGGUGUGCCGAUGGCUACCACAGGACUAGCAGCAUAGGAUUGAGCAACAUAAACCCACAGCUGAUUGAAAAAUUUCUUGAGUUCCUAAAACAAGCCUAUACCGACGAGAGGCUUCGUCUAAAGGUUUAUAUUAGCGACUCUACGCCAAAAAAUUAUUUAAAUUUUGGCGUAAAAUCUAUUUCCAUCUUGUAUUCUAAAAAAGCCAAACAUAUUGCAUACCAUUUGUAUGUAAAUAGCAGGGGCUUGCUUCGAGAAUUUGUUCGAGCCAAACAAUCGCCAAUAAAGCAAUUUAUAAGUAAAGAAGUUGCGUGGUGCUAUAUGGCCGGAAGAUUCGACGGGGACGGAACAUAGGCAAGGAUUUAAAAAGAGAUUUAAGAAUCAGUUAUACAACCAAACAAGAAGCUGGUCAAGAUAAAAAAAUUCUUGAAAGCUUGGGGUUACAGUUGUGUAAAGUUUAUUAUUAUAGAACAUCAAGUGCUUAUGUCCUAUAUGUUUCCAGGAGUGAAAGUAAAAAGUUUGUUGGAAAUUGCAUUCAACAUUCACUAAAGUUGCAAAAAUUAGCGUUUGAAUCCCGUAGAGACUUAAUCUUGGUUUGACCACCAAGGUUAGAUAGCGACACUUAUAUCAAAUAUCUUAUAACGCUAUAACACGGUCGGAUCCGCACUUCAUCAAAAUUGAUGAAACGGAUAUGGUAUAGUCCGUACCACUAGGAAUAGUGGACAAAUAUGGUCGUCAGCUCGUGCCGUGAGGUGUUCACUUAAGUGUGAAAACGAGCGCAACCCCUACGGUGAGUUACAAGUGUCUCACAGAACUGCCAGCGUUUAAGCUGGAGGAAGGUGGGGAUGACGUCAAAUCAGCGUGGCUCUUACGACUUGGGCCACACACGUGCUACAAUGGGUAGAAUAAAGGGACGCCAAGGAGUAAUCCGGAGCAAAUCCUAUCAAUACUACCCCCAGUUCGGAUUGAGGGCUGCAACUCGCCCUCAUGAAGCCGGAAUCGCUAGUAACCGUGAAUCAGCCUCGUCACGGUGAAUACGUUCUCAGGUUUUGUACACACCGCCCGUCAAGCCAUGGAAGCGGGAAGCGGCUAAAGUUCACCGUAAGGUGGCCUAAGCCGAAGCUCGUAACUGGGGCUAAGUCGUAACAAGGCAUCGGUAGCGGAAGCUGUCGAUGGAUCACCUCCUUU